rnacentral:lncRNA from 1 species
CGGUUCCGAGUCCGUGAAAGAUGAGUGCUGUUCACCGUGCGGUGCGCAAUAUUUUGGCUCCAGCGUUCCACUCGACACCAGGUCUUGAGCCCAGUAUGCAACGGCGCACAGAUGCGACGAAUAAAUGGACUGCGUGUUGCCCGUGAUGGAGAGCAAUAACUACUGGACCAUAGACGCUAUGUGGAGCUGCCGAACACACAAUGUGCCGAAUACAGAAGAUUCGCUUAGCGAGAACGGGAUACCAAAAAAUGGUAUAAAAUCAAUGGUUCUUUCAGGAUUUACAGAUUAUUGUGAUCUUUCAGACGGUUGUCAGACACUGGUGGGUUUUUUUUAAUCUCUUGCUUCUGCUUAUUACUCGUAACAAUAUGUCCAGUUAUGCAUUUAAGGCGUGGUUCUAGACCGCUUUUUAUCUGAUUAUUGACAACAUUUUCGUUGGGCUGGCCAGCCGUUGCAGAUUCAAAAAGCAGGGAGGGGAGGCAAUGUCCCCUCUAGGUUUCUUUUCAUUAAGUAUUUCACGAGUCCGCAGAGGGGGAAUGGGGGUGGGUAGCAUCGAUUUAAAAUUAAAAUAAAAAAAAAUAAAAAUAAAAAUUCACUCCCUACUUAUUUGAUAUUGUUUUAGUACGUGCCACCCGAUGCAUUUGGACACGUCACUAUUUUUUUAAUUCAUGCUGUAAUUAUAUGUAAUUCCAACAUUCAAAAUUUCUAAUAGUAUACAAAAACGGAGAAAACAGCACAAAACAUUUGAAUGCACCGUUGUUAUGUAAGGCUAAGGGGCGUUAGCCCACAUGUUUGCAUUACAUGUACAAUUGUAUCAUGAACAGCGCCCUAGUGUGAUGUAGAAUCCAUCCUCCCCCCCCCCCCUUCCCCUGCCCCGCUUUUCGAAUUUCCACGACUACGGUGAUGUUUGCAUUUUGCGGCAUGGUCAUCCCUCAUCCCCCAUCCCUUGCCGACACAGAUUUACUCCGCUGUUCUUUUGCAUCAACGCUCUUUGAGUAUACACAAUUCGUUUAAACAAUUUAUCCGCCAAAAAUAAUCCACAAAUUUCAAAUAAAGCAACAUAAGCCCGUUGUGCCACUGCCCAACCCACGUGGUUCAACACCGAUAUUCAACCAAUGUCCGUGCAAAAUCACAGUUGGAGAAAGGACUACACCCGUCCGCCUGGGUUCCGGAGAUUUUUACCGUGUCGAUCGGCACGUACCAACCGGUCCAUUUGAGCAUUUCCCCCGUGACAGAGAUCAACAUGAAUACAUCCAUGGCUAGAGUGCCAUUAAUGCACCGUCAGAAUGGGUUAAUAUGAUGUCACAAUCGCCACUUUCCCUCGGGCCCGUGCUUUGCAGGAAUUAUUUCCGUGGGUAUAUAUAAAGUAUUGUGCCUCUGGUAUAUCCCAAAAAAAUAAUAUUAAUGGACGUAACUUGUUUGAGAAUUUAAUGGGCAGUUUCAGUUCAAAACAAACACAAUUUAAUUUAUAUCCCACAAUAUUAUGUUAUUAUAAAUAAUAAAAUAAUUAUGUGUACAAAUUAUUCUUGUCGGUGGGAUUUGAAAUAAAAUGUCCAAUGGGCUAUA